rnacentral:rRNA from 1 species
AGAGUUUGAUCAUGGCUCAGGAUGAACGCUGGCGGCGUGCCUAAUACAUGCAAGUCGAACGCGAAAGGUCUGAAGCCUUCGGGCGGAGGGCCGAGUAGAGUGGCGAACGGGUGAGGAACACGUAGGUGACCUGCCCCGGAGAGGGGGAUAACCGUCGGAAACGGCGGCUAAUACCCCAUAAGCUCACGCGAGUUAGAGGGCGUGUGAGAAAGGCUCCGGCGCUCCGGGAGGGGCCUGCGGCCCAUCAGCUAGUUGGUAGGGUAAAGGCCUACCAAGGCGAAGACGGGUAGGGGGCCUGAGAGGGUGGUCCCCCACAUGGGAACUGAGACACGGUCCCAACUCCUACGGGAGGCAGCAGUAAGGAAUAUUGCACAAUGGGCGCAAGCCUGAUGCAGCAACGCCGCGUGCCCGAGGACGGCCUUCGGGUUGUAAAGGGCUUUUCUGGCUGACGAGGAAGGACGGUAGGCCAGGAAUAAGCGUCGGCUAACUACGUGCCAGCAGCCGCGGUAAU